CCUGCGGAGGGAUCAUUACACAACAAAAUAUGAAGGCCUGGCUUCGCGGCCGGCUGAAAUAUUUUUUCACCCAUGUCUUUUGCGCACUUGUUGUUUCCUGGGCGGGUUCGCCCGCCACCAGGACCAAACCAUAAACCUUUUUUUAUGCAGUUGCAAUCAGCGUCAGUAAAAACAAUGUAAUUAUUACAACUUUCAACAACGGAUCUCUUGGUUCUGGCAUCGAUGAAGAACGCAGCGAAAUGCGAUACGUAGUGUGAAUUGCAGAAUUCAGUGAAUCAUCGAAUCUUUGAACGCACAUUGCGCCCUUUGGUAUUCCAAAGGGCAUGCCUGUUCGAGCGUCAUUUGUACCUUCAAGCUUUGCUUGGUGUUGGGCGUUUUUGUCUCCCUCUUUCUGGGAGACUCGCCUUAAAACGAUUGGCAGCCGGCCUACUGGUUUCGGAGCGCAGCACAUAUUUUGCGCUUUGUAUCAGGAGAAAAGGACGGUAAUCCAUCAAGACUCUACAUUUUUAACUUUUGACCUCGGAUCAGGUAGGGAUACCCGCUGAAC
rnacentral:rRNA from 1 species